rnacentral:rRNA from 1 species
UACAGGGGGAGCAAGCGUUGUUCGGAUUUACUGGGCGUAAAGGGCGCGUAGGCGGUCAGCACAAGUCAGUUGUGAAAUCUCCGGGCUUAACUCGGAAAGGUCAACUGAUACUGUGCGACUAGAGUGCGGAAGGGGCAACUGGAAUUCUUGGUGUAGCGGUGAAAUGCGUAGAUAUCAAGAGGAACACCUGCGGCGAAGGCGGGUUGCUGGGCCGACACUGACGCUGAGGCGCGAAAGCUAGGGGAGCAAACGGG